CACAGAGGAAACUCCCUGGCCCAGUGGUGCAGGGGUGAGGUCCCAGCAAGGCUUCAGCUGCCCUUGGCUGAGCAGUGACCCUGCACUGCAGGGAGAGACGGAGGCUCCAGGCUGGUCCCACCACGCACCCAGCACACCUUGAGCCUCUUGGGGAGCAUGGAGCCCUGGCUGGCCAACACCUUCCUACCCCUGCUGCUCCUCACCUGGCUGCCACUUGGAACAGCCAGUCAGAUGGCAAAGCCAGUCACCACUCUGCCGCUCAAGAUUGAUUUGGAGAAUCUCACAGUGCAGGUGAAGUGGCACAAUCCUGAAUGUCUGGAAGGGGAGAAUCAAACCAACACUGAGUCUCUGGGAGAAAAAUGUAUGAAUUUCACCAGCUCAAACCUGUGUACAGCCCACACAGGAAUCUGUGUGUCUGGGGUUGUCAUCACAACACCAAACUCAAGAGAUGCUGGAAAUCAAACCAACACUGUGUUUCUGGCUGGAAACUGUAUGAAUUUCACCUGCUCAAGGCUGUGUACAGUCUGCACAGGAAUCUGUGUGUGCAGGGUCUUCAUCACAAGACCAAACUCGACAGAUGCUGGAAACAGCACGCAAGCAGCAAAUCUCAGUAAGUGGCAGUGGGGCUGUUUCCAUGGGGGAGAUGAGUGGGCAGAGAGGGAUGUUCCCUCCAGCACUCCUCUGGUUCUUCCAUGUGUUGUUUCCCCUGAAAGCAUCCUAAGAACUGGAGAAGCCAGCCCAGCCCAGCCCAGCAGCUUUUGGCAGAUUCAUCCCACCAUGGGAUGGGGGGACAGACCAUGGAGCUGCUGGACCAUUGGUUCCUUUCUAGGACCUGCCAGAUUCUCCAGCUGCAGCACAUCAGCCAAAUCCUGACAUGGCUGGAGCUGUGCUGGCAGGAGAGGGACAGCCAGGACUGUGGGCUCAAGGCUUCUGCUCCAAAGCAGAGCAGGGUGCAGGGUUCUCUGCCUCUGGACAGUCUCUCACUUGUGUUUCUGCCUUUCAGGCUCUGGCUGUGAAGGAUCUCAGACUGAUGUCACAGUCAAGAACAUCUGGAAAGGUGUGUCCCCACAGUCCCCUGGCUGCAAGAGUGGAGGGCAGGAGGAGUCCUCAGGGAAAAAGAGGGAGGAGCAAUAAGGGAGAAAAGAGCCAGAUGUUUUCCCAUGAGUGGGUGGGAGCCAGUGCCAGACUGGGGUAGGCACCAGUGGAUC
rnacentral:lncRNA from 1 species